rnacentral:misc_RNA from 1 species
AACGCACCUUGCGCUCCUUGGUAUUCCGAGGAGCAUGCCUGUUUGAGUGUCAUUAAAUUAAUCAAUCCUUACAGUUUUGUUACUGUUAAGGACUUGGAUUGUGGAGGUUUGCGGGCUUUCUAAGAAGUCGGCUCCUCUUAAAAGCAUGAGUGAAACCUUUGUUAACAAUCUCUAGUGUGAUAAUUAUCUACGCUAUUGAUAUUAAUAAGGAUUUGCUUUCUAACUGUCUUUACUUUGAAGACAAUUUAUUGACCAAUUUGACCUCAAAUCAGGUAGGACUACCCGCUGAACUUAA